UUCUAUCAGUGUGCUUGCUCAUGCCCUGCCCACUCUCCCCUGUCCUGUAUCCAAUACAUGAUUUUUCCUAGAACAAACAACGGCACAUCCCACAGCUAAGAAGCAAAGCAGGGGUUUGAAGGCAGCAGUUUCACUCCACAGCUUGUUUGCUUCUUGCUCUGAGGCCUCAGCUAGAUUCCAACGUUUCUUCCUUUCUCUCUCUCUCUCUCUGCCUGACAGGCGUUAUCCCAAGCAUCUGGGCUGGCAGGAUAGGUUGGUGGAGAGAUGGGCUUCCUACAAAGGCCCCACAACCUUUAAACUGGAUCCAAGGAAUCCACGGUAGAGGGAAGAAAUCAACUUCUCAGAGUCUUUUUUAAUUUUGUUUUUGUUCCCUGAGACAGGGUUUCUCUGCAUAGCCCUGGCUGUCCCGGAACUCGCUACAUAGACCAGGCUGUCCUCGAACUCAGAAAUCCACCUGCCUCUGCCUCCUGAGUGCUGGGAUUAAAGGCAUGUGCCACCACUGGCUAGCUGAAAGUUGCCUUCUAGCCUGCACAUGCAAAGUGUGGCACACAUGUACUGGGAUUUGCACCAACGCAUGUGAUCACACACUUGCACACCAUAUUUAUACAUACAUACAGUAAUAAUAAAUAAAAUAAAAAUUUUAAAGCAGUUACAGACUUGCCUGGUACUAUUUCUCCCCCUCCCCCUCUUUUUAAGUACUGUUCUGGGAAUUGAACCCACGGUCUCAUGCAGGAUAGAAGGAAUUCUACCAUAAUUUCUUUCUCUUAAUUAUAAUUACACAGCCUCCAUUGUGGUAGGAGACACCAGCCACCCUUGUGGAAGGCUAAGGUGGUUGUCUGCUUGGAAGAUGACUCACUCCUCAGUCCACAUGACACCACUGAUGCUGGUGUGCCUUAAAAACAAGAGUCAAGGAACUGGAAACGCCGUGUUCUUAGACUUGAUCCUCAACACAACACUCUAUGCCUGCCAUUUUCUCCUUGGCGACUUGUUUCACGCUCAGGAACCCAUUAAGCACAACUUUGACUGAUAAUUGAUAAUAUUAACAAGCAUUUAUAUCAUAGAUGUGAUCCAAUUAUAAAUACAUUAAAUAUUUCAUGUGUAUAUAAUAUUUAGAUGAAAUGAAAUAUUAAAUAUUUUAUAUUAUAUUAAAUAAAUACUAAACAUAUUUUAAAGUUUACA
rnacentral:lncRNA from 1 species